AUUGAACGCUGGCGGCAGGCCUAACACAUGCAAGUCGAACGGGGCGGCGGACGGGCGAGUAAUACCUAGGAAGCUGCCUGGUAGUGGGGUAUAGCGUUCGGAAAGGGACGCUAAUACCGCAUACUAUCAGAUGAGCCGAGGUCGGAUUAGCUAGUUGGUGGGGUAAUGGCUCACCAAGGCUACGAUCCGUAACUGGUCUGAGAGGAUGAUCAGUCACACUGGAACAGAGACACGGUGCAGCGUCCUACGGGAGGACGCAGUGGGGAAUAGUGGAAAAUGGGCGAAAGCCUGAUCGAGCCAUGCCGCGUGUGUGAAGAAGGGCUGAGGAUUGUAGAGCAGUUUAAGUUGGGAGGCGUUACCGACAGAAUAAGCACCGGCUAACUCUGUGCCAGCAGCCGCGGUAAUAC
rnacentral:rRNA from 1 species